GUGUGCAGGUUCAAGUCCUGUUUUUCUAA
rnacentral:tRNA from 1 species